UAGCUGCACUAGCUAAAGGGAAAGGCAAUAUUGACUCGGGAAAUUUUAAUCCAAUGACGCAGUUGGGUCCACAAAGAGAUUCCUCAUCCACAAAGACUACCAACCGAGCCUUAUUGUUAGAAGAAGUUCCAUCCACUACAAAGAAAGUUGAAAUGCUGAGUUUCGAUAGGUCUGACCCUGUAGGUUGGGUAGCAAGAACAGAACAAUAUUUUGAGAUCCAUGGCACUCAAGAAGAACUUAAGGUCUCACUAGCCUUGGUGAGAAUGGAAGGAGCACCACUACAUUGGCUUAGGUGGUUGUGCCAAUGUAAUCCUUAAUUAUCAUGGGAACAGCUUCGAGAGGACCUAAUGCAACGUUAUGGUGAUGACAUCUCUAAGAACCCUUCUGAGCAUUUGGCUGCUGUAAAACAAAUGGGCAAUGUGGUAGAAUAUGUAGAUGAAUUUAUAGUUAGGGCAUCUUAACUCCAGAUCUGAUAAACAAUGUCUAGGGUUCUUUUUGAAUGGGUUAAGAGAUGAUAUAUGGGUAAGACUUUGCUCCCAUGACACAGUAGACUUGUAUCGAACCAUGGAGCUCGCACAUGAAAUUAAAAGGCAACAUUGGCAUUUUGACAGAGAAAGGGAGAAGAAUACGUCAGGUGAUGGAACAAAGAUGAAGACGUUUUCCCAUGGGUUGGGUCCCAAAAUUCCAAACCCACAGGAGUAAAGAACAUCCUCAGGAUCCAUUGCUUUUCAAAGGCGAGAUGGACUCCUUAACAAGCAACCAGGCAAACCAUUUCAAAACCCCAAUAAACCAGUAACUUUACCAGCACCUCAACAAAAACCUCCCACUUCCUCGAUGAAGCAAAGAGGGACCCGACAAUACUUUCAUCAAGAGUACUAAGAGCUCAGAGCAAAGAGGCUUUAUUUUAGGUGCAAGCAGCCGCACUCACCGUUACAUUUUAGGUGCCCAGGUAAGUCACCGCGUGCUCUUAUUGGAGGGGAAGAUGAAUAUUUG
rnacentral:misc_RNA from 1 species